UCAGAAUUCCUGUCCUAAAAUGCAACCCACUGCAUUUGCAUGUAUAAUCUGACCCUCUUCAAUCACUCUUUUGAGACGUGGGGAGCCAGUAUAAAUUCUUUUUUUUUUUUUUUUUUGAGACGGAGUCUCGCUCUGUCGCCCCGGCUGGAGUGCAGUGGCGGGAUCUCGGCUCACUGCAAGCUCCGCCUCCCGGGUUCACGCCAUUCUCCUGCCUCAGCCUCCCAAGUAGCUGGGACUACAGGCGUCCGCCACUACGCCCGGCUAAUUUUUUGUAUUUUUAGUAGAGACGGGGUUUCACCGUUUUAGCCGGGAUGGUCUCGAUCUCCUGACCUCGUGAUCCGCCCGCCUCGGCCUCCCAAAGUGCUGGGAUUACAGGCGUGAGCCACCGCGCCCGGCCGCCAGUAUAAAUUCUUUAAAGCACGCUGACAGUUUAUCUACUGCUAUGGCUGCAGAUAAUAAACCAUCUCCCUGACUCAACAGUCUCACGUCUUUUCCCACUAUCCAUGAAACUAACUUGGAAUAGCUAACUUGUUAGCUUGCAAGUGGGGUAAAAUCUCAACCCCUUCAAAGUUCUUGACAAUUACAUAUGAAUUCUUGAAUAAAAGCAAAAGUUCUUCCUUCACACAAUUCCAAAGUCUAAUUUGUCAACAAAAGGAAUUCUAAAAUCAGGAGGUUUCUUUUUUAAAACAGAGGUUCAAGAAAUUAAAGAUUUCUCAACAUGUUGUUCAUUUUUAAACCUAACAGCUCUGGAGCAAGUAUUUUCCUGCACUUUUUCAAAAGUUAUUGUGCUUGUCCCAAAAAGAUACUCCCUUUAUUCCAGGAACCGACACAAUAAAACAUCUCUCAGAUGCUUGGAGGAUCAAACUCAGUCUCAGUUGCUGAGAUCACUAGUACGGCCCAAGGGCAUGGGCCUUCUGUGCUUCUUCAAUUUCAAAGGUUGGCUGGCUCACUGCCCCAGCCCGCCCCAUGGAAACCCUGAGCAAGGCACAUCUCCUGCGUGGUUUCUGAAAGGCAGAAGAUAAAUGUCUAUCCACAGCGAAAACAGUAGAAGAGCCCUUCAGCACAUCUCUGGCCAGAAAGCUGAGGGUUGGUGGCAGGGCGCCCACACAUUCAACUUGCCAGUAACAGUCCAGGGUCUUGUUGUUCUGCAUUUGCACAGAAAUUUAGACAGUCAUGGAAGUCAAAGAAUGCAGAUGACACUGUAGUUCCAACCCCACAGCCCAUGUGUCACCUCCUUUGUUUCAGUCACUUCAUGGAUGUCAUCUUUUGAAAAUGAUCUAAGUCACAUGAAGGCUUCCCAGCCACUCCUAGCUUCACAUAAUUGUAUCCUUUUCUAAAAUCCUGACCUUCCCUUAACCCAUU
rnacentral:lncRNA from 10 species